AUUUAUUAUUGUUGUUGCUGUUAUUAUUAUUAUUAAUAACAAUUUUUUUGACUACUCAUAAUCACUACAAUUAUAACAAAUAAUGAUAAAAGUGACAAUAGUUAAUUUAGGAUAUUUUAGUAAUUUGAAAUAAUCUAUUCAGAUUCUAAGGCAAAAUAAGCAUAUCAAUAUAAAUAUACUCAUUUUGAUUCUAAUUUUUGCAAUUUAAGUAAACAACUUAUUUUAAUUCCGAUUUCUCUUUCUCAUUCCAACACAUUUUAAUUACUAAUUGAUAAAUGUAGCAUUAGUUCAGUGGAAUAGAGCUGAUUAAUUACUCAUUACUGAUUUCAUGUCAAUUUGCCUAUUGUAAGUAAUGGUCAAAAUGGAUGGCCGGAUGGCACGAGCAAGCUACUUGAUUGAUUUGAAGGGCUUUAGUUUCUUCGUGCUCGCACGUGAUGCGAAUUUAAGCAUCUAAUGAUGCUUAAUAAUAAAAGUAGAUAUUUGUUCGAAUUGAAUUCUAUCCAUCCAAUAAAUUCCAUGGAGUUGGUUGAGUGAAUAUGAAUAUGUUUCUGCAUGUAAUGACCGGUGUAGUAAAGUUGUGAUUCGAAUGAGUUUUUUAUUUUUUAUUUUUUUCUACAAAAUAAUCACUAAAUAAUGACGAAUUAAAAGAUGAUAAAUUAAAUAAUCAUCAGUGUUGAUAAUAUGUUGUAUAUUUUUUAUUACCCCAAAAAAAUAAAGAUUAUUUUUAAAAAUCAAAAGCUAAAGCUGCAUUAUUUUUUAGAAUAAAGGUAAACUAAUUUUUUUAACCAAAAUUAAAGUAAUUAAAUAUAAAGAAAUAAAUUAAGAAGACCUCAGGUCAACGACAACCAUAUUUCCAUUCUAUUAGUCUAGCUUUAAUUUCUUUGGAUAAAUUUAUAAAGCAAAGUUCACGUUAUUAAGCAUCAUUAAUAACUUUAAAUUAUUCUUGUGUGCAUUGACCACCUUUUUUUUAUGAAAAAAAACCCUCAAAUUAUCUCUAUUUUUGUUCAAAGGAUAAGGAAAAAUAAGGGUACGUUGACCUUUUUUUUAAAAUUUUUAUCUUCUUAAUAAAAAUGGAGGCUAAAUUAAUGUUUUUAAAAAUAAGAGAGUGAUUUGAAGACAAUCAAUUCAUGAGGGGCAAUUCAAAAUUAAUCUUAUUUCCUUUAAUUGGUCAAAUUUUUUAUACAUCAUAAGUCAAUUUAGCUUCAAAUAUAAUAAAGAUUCAGGUCUUAAUAUAAAAAAAUAUAAUUUAGGACAACGCCUAAUAAUAAAAAAAAAUGUAAAAACCGAAUUUCUGGCAAUUAAAAAAAAACAACUAUAUACACUAAGAUCUAGUAAGAUACUAAAGAAAAUUACAUGUUUAUAAUUUAUAAAAAGUACUCUAUUAGUCAUUGGGUUUCACAAACAAAUGUGACUCUUGCCUUUCUUAUUUUGCAGUAGGCUUGGGAAAAUGAAGCUACAUUGUUGAAUUUUAACUUGCCAAAUUAAAUACUUGGGUCAUAAUCUUUCUCAACACAAAGGAGCUUAUUUAUAUACACAUUAUCUUCAAGGUGAACAAUGGAAACGACUCACUUAAUUAAGCAAUUGUGUAAGUUGGCUAGAUCCAUCUUUCUUCCUUAAAUCACAGGAAAAUGGAUCC
rnacentral:lncRNA from 1 species